UGACUCUGGUGUUCAACUUGGGGACUGC
rnacentral:piRNA from 1 species